CCUUAGAGUUUGAUCCUGGCUCAGGAUGAACGCUAUCUACAGGCUUAACACAUGCAAGUCGAGGGGCAGCAUUUUAGUUUGCUUGCAAACUGAAGAUGGCGACCGGCGCACGGGUGAGUAACACGUAUCCAACCUGCCGAUAACUCCGGGAUAGCCUUUCGAAAGAAAGAUUAAUACCGGAUAGCAUACGAAUAUCGCAUGAUAUUUUUAUUAAAGAACUUCGGUUAUCGAUGGGGAUGCGUUCCAUUAGUUUGUUGGCGGGGUAACGGCCCACCAAGACAACGAUGGAUAGGGGUUCUGAGAGGAAGGUCCCCCACAUUGGAACUGAGACACGGUCCAAACUCCUACGGGAGGCAGCAGUGAGGAAUAUUGGUCAAUGGGCGAGAGCCUGAACCAGCCAAGUAGCGUGAAGGAUGAAGGCUCUAUGGGUCGUAAACUUCUUUUAUAUGGGAAUAAAGUAUUCCACGUGUGGAAUUUUGUAUGUACCAUAUGAAUAAGGAUCGGCUAACUCCGUGCCAGCAGCCGCGGUAAUACGGAGGAUCCGAGCGUUAUCCGGAUUUAUUGGGUUUAAAGGGAGCGUAGGUGGAUUGUUAAGUCAGUUGUGAAAGUUUGCGGCUCAACCGUAAAAUUGCAGUUGAAACUGGCAGUCUUGAGUACAGUAGAGGUGGGCGGAAUUCGUGGUGUAGCGGUGAAAUGCUUAGAUAUCACGAAGAACUCCGAUUGCGAAGGCAGCUCACUAGACUGUCAUUGACACUGAUGCUCGAAAGUGUGGGUAUCAAACAGGAUUAGAUACCCUGGUAGUCCACACAGUAAACGAUGAAUACUCGCUGUUUGCGAUAUACAGUAAGCGGCCAAGCGAAAGCAUUAAGUAUUCCACCUGGGGAGUACGCCGGCAACAGUGAAACUCAAAGGAAUUGACGGGGGCCCGCACAAGCGGAGGAACAUGUGGUUUAAUUCGAUGAUACGCGAGGAACCUUACCCGGGCUUAAAUUGCAACAGAAUAUAUUGGAAACAGUAUAGCCGUAAGGCUGUUGUGAAGGUGCUGCAUGGUUGUCGUCAGCUCGUGCCGUGAGGUGUCGGCUUAAGUGCCAUAACGAGCGCAACCCUUAUCUUUAGUUACUAACAGGUCAUGCUGAGGACUCUAGAGAGACUGCCGUCGUAAGAUGUGAGGAAGGUGGGGAUGACGUCAAAUCAGCACGGCCCUUACGUCCGGGGCUACACACGUGUUACAAUGGGGGGUACAGAAGGCAGCUACCUGGCGACAGGAUGCUAAUCCCAAAAACCUCUCUCAGUUCGGAUCGAAGUCUGCAACCCGACUUCGUGAAGCUGGAUUCGCUAGUAAUCGCGCAUCAGCCAUGGCGCGGUGAAUACGUUCCCGGGCCUUGCACGCACCGCCCGUCAAG
rnacentral:rRNA from 1 species